AUGAACCAAGAUCAAAUGAGUGAACCUCAAUUCACGCAAGAAGAUUGGCCAACAUUGAGCCCGACUCCAAACAACCAAAAUGAAGGUUUUGAAGAGGAGAAUGAUGAGUACGAGGAGGAUGACAACGAAGUUGACCUCCAUGACAACAGUGUGGGUGAUCUCGACCAAUAUCAUGUGCAAGAGACAAUGGACCAAUCCAUUCCUUUUUCCCGUGCAUAUGCAUCGGACUCGGAUGACGAUGGUCCUGAUGAAGAAGUUGAUGAGGAGGGGUUCACACCGAAGGAGGCCGAAGCAUUCAAGAAGGUAUUCGGGCGGGAUCACAAGACACCAUUGUUCAAGGAUCUUAGUCUCGCGGAUGAAGCCGUUGUGGAUGGUGGAAAAUGCAUAUCUCUUGGAGCUAGGCAAAGUUCUCACCGUGAUUUGGAAGACGGCAAGAACGGGAUAUAUCCCGGUUGUGAGUUUCAAUCCUUCUUGGAAUUGAAGAUGUGGCUCGACAACUACUCGGUUACACAUUAUCGUCCACAUAAAGUGGCCAACUCGGACGUGAAUGUGCGUUACACAGUCAAAUGUGAAGUGCCAACAUGUCCAUGGAUUGUGCGUGCAAGGCCAUGGAAAGGAGGUCCCACUUGGCGCAUAGUGAGUUGUCUACCAACUCACAUGUGUCGGCACAAGAAUGCGGAUGGCAAGCUUGUGUACCAACAACACAGAUAA
rnacentral:rRNA from 1 species